AAAUUGAAGAGUUUGAUCAUGGCUCAGAUUGAACGCUGGCGGCAGGCCUAACACAUGCAAGUCGAACGGUAACAGGAAGCAGCUUGCUGUUUCGCUGACGAGUGGCGGACGGGUGAGUAAUGUCUGGGAAACUGCCUGAUGGAGGGGGAUAACUACUGGAAACGGUGGCUAAUACCGCAUAACGUCGCAAGACCAAAGAGGGGGACCUUCGGGCCUCUUGCCAUCAGAUGUGCCCAGAUGGGAUUAGCUUGUUGGUGAGGUAACGGCUCACCAAGGCGACGAUCCCUAGCUGGUCUGAGAGGAUGACCAGCCACACUGGAACUGAGACACGGUCCAGACUCCUACGGGAGGCAGCAGUGGGGAAUAUUGCACAAUGGGCGCAAGCCUGAUGCAGCCAUGCCGCGUGUAUGAAGAAGGCCUUCGGGUUGUAAAGUACUUUCAGCGGGGAGGAAGGUGUUG
rnacentral:rRNA from 1 species